AUGAGCGAACCUUUUCAGAACUGGUUAGGAAUGGGCGCCACUAUCCCGGCCCGGAUCCAGCCAGGUUCUAUUGAUCAUGUCCCCUUCCCAACAGUUGUAUCUUGUCUUGGGGCGUCUUUCUUUGGCUUUACUAUCAAGCCAGACGCGGCGCCCUUUCGCAUUAUCAUCUACCGCCCUUUCUUUCCUCCCGUCCCUUCACGCAUGAAGAUCGUCGUAUGUAUGUUCGACUUCGGUUGCCGGUGCAAUAGAAUUGGCGGGAGUAUAUUAUGGCAGGAUCAGUCACCUGGGCAAACCAAAACCCUCCUCCAAGAAGAAUUGUGCUAUGCCCCCCCCCCCGAUAUCCCUAUAGAGCGAAAGAGCUGCCUGGUGAUCCCUAGGUUGCAGCACGUCCGGUCGUUAACUCCUCGCUAG
rnacentral:rRNA from 1 species